rnacentral:rRNA from 1 species
UGAAUACGAGAUGCUACGGCGUCGAAGCAGUUUAUGUCAGACUUCCAAGAAAAGCUCGCAAUGUCAUAAAUAAAGAAUGCCUGUACCAUAACCGACACAGGUGGGUAGGUAGAGUAUACUAAGGGGCGCGAGAUAACUCUCUCUAAGGAACUCGGCAAAAUAACUCCGUAACUUCGGGGGAAGGAGUGCCUUCUUUAAGAAGGUUGCAAUAACAAGAUCCAAGCAACUGUUUAUCAAAAACACAGGUCUCCGCUAAGUCGUAAGACGAUGUAUGGGGGCUGACGCCUGCCCAGUGCCAGAAGGUUAAAGAAGCUGGUUAGCAAUAGCGAAGCUGGUGACUGAAGCCCUGGUGAACGGCGGCCGUAACAAUAACGGUCCUAAGGUAGCGAAAUUCCUUGUCGGGUAAGUUCCGACCCGCACGAAAGGCGUAAUGAUUUGGAUACUGUCUCGGAGAGGGACUCGGUGAAAUAGACUUGUCUGUGAAGAUGCGGACUACCUGCACCAGGACAGAAAGACCCUAUGAAGCUUUACUGUAACCUGAAAUUGAAAUUGGACUUUAUUUGCGCAGUAUAGGUGGGAGGCGUUGAAAGUAAUCUUGCGGGAUUAGUGGAGCCAUCAGUGAGAUACCACUCCUAUAAUGUUAGAUUUCUAACUUUGGAUCAUGAUCUGGUCAAAGAACAGUUUCAGGCGGGCAGUUUGACUGGGGCGGUCGCCUCCCAAAUGGUAACGGAGGCGUACAAAGGUUUCCUCUGAACGGGUAGAAAUCGUAUCUAGAGUGUAAAGGCAUAAGGAAGCUUGACUGUGAGACCUACAAGUCGAGCAGGGACGAAAGUCGGUCUUAGUGAUCUGACGGUGCUGAGUGGAAAGGCCGUCACUCAACGGAUAAAAGUUACUCUAGGAUAACAGGCUGAUCUCCCCCCAGAGUUCACAUCGACGAGGAGGUUUGGCACCUCGAUGUCGGCUCAUCGCAUCCUGGGGCGGUAGUACGUCCCAAGGGUUGGGCUGUUCGCCCAUGAAAGCGGUACGCGAGCUGGGUUCAGAACGUCGUGAGACAGUUCGGUCCAUAUCCGGUGUAGGCGUUAGAAUAUUGAGAGGAGCCUUCUCUAGUACGAGAGGACCGAGAAGGACAUACCUCUGGUGUACCAGUUAUCGUGCCAACGGUAAACGCUGGGUAGCUAUGUAUGGAGAGGAUAACCGCUGAAAGCAUCUAAGUGGGAAGCCCACCUCAAGAUGAG